AUUCUCUCUUCGGCAGCACAUAUAUUAAAGUUGGAACAAUACAGAGAAGACUAGGGUGGCCCCAGAGCAAGGAUGACAUGCAAAUUUGUGACACAUUACAAAUAUAA